AAGGAGCACCAUCACCCGUCACCACCGAGUGUGUGGUGGGGUGACAGCUCACUAGUGGAGCACUGGCUAUUCAGUUCUGCCGGGUCGCCGGCGUGCUAGUACCGCCCAUCAGCUGAUGGGAGUGGGAACGGGCGUGCGGGGGUUCGGGGAGGGCUGGACACACUGUUGGGUCCUGAGGAAACGGGCAUCUUGUUUGUUCGUUUGACUCGGUACAGGGCCACUGAAGCAGCGCAUGGUUGUGUGUUGUGGAGGUGGUUGCUGUUUGUUGUUUGAGAUUUGCAUAGUGGACGCGAGCAUCUUUGU
rnacentral:misc_RNA from 1 species